UUUUUUUUUUUUGCUCAAACGACGCGACAUCUGCGAGCUUAAAUUCCACCGGCGUGUUUCGGUAUCUUUCGGCAUCUCGUGAAUUUUUUGAAAUCACAUUGCCGCCGCUUGGUUCCCGAGAGGAACGAACGAAAAUAUGGGCGCCAGGAAUUCGCCUGCGAAUCGCGAAGAAUUCGGUGAACCUGCAACGCGGCAUAUGCUUGGAUAUACGUUGCUACCUUGAUACAUACCUGCUAAACUGUUCAUGAGAGCAUUCACGGAAGCGCCAUAUGCGUGGUCGAUUAGGUUAUGGGUAGCAACCCCACAUGGUCUUUGGCGAGGAAGGAAGGUGGUGGCGCGCACGCAUAAAUUCCCUUCCUCUAGGUCGAGUGCUACCUGUGCGUUAUAUUGUGCAGCGCGCGCGCGCGCGCGCGCGUACACACGUCAGCCGGUAACGAAAUGCCAACACGUGGAAAUCGAUAUAUUUCCAAGGUGGACCUGUGUAUUUGCAUUUUAAUACUACACCGUGUUAUUUAAAAUUUUAUGUUUAUCGUUAAAUUUGUCAUCGCUCUAUUUGUUUUCUUCUUUUCACGCACAAAAUGCGUCUCGUCUACUUCUAUCGGGUGGUUAUAUCGAGUUGGGAGUAAAUAAAAGUAAGUAUUCAAUUAUCGUAUCCUAAAUUGGAAAAUGGUAAUUAUGUCCUUGCUAUAUUUUGCAGUUAAAGAGUAUCGUCUUUCGAUCUUGUUCCGAAGCUUUUUCCUUUUUUCUGGCCCGGGCCGUUCAUUAGCCGACAAUGUUUUCAUUAAUGAAGAAAAAUCGAUUCUCCGAUCGACCUCGAGAAAUCUUGUCCAACCGUGAAAAAAAAGAAAGAUACAACGCGAUCUCUCUUCAGUGUUAAUUUCACGAUAAUUAUCGGUGAUGUGGCCAGUUAGCCUGACCGACGUGGUUCAAGAAUAUAAUUACGGAACAAAUUGUCCAUUCAAAGGUUCAAGGUAAUAAAGCCAUCACCGACUGAAAAA